GGUAAAAUGGCUGAAUUAUAGGCGAUAGAUUGUAAAUUUAUUCAUGGGAAUUAAUCUCUUUUACU
rnacentral:tRNA from 2 species